rnacentral:rRNA from 1 species
AUUGAACGCUGGCGGCAGGCCUAACACAUGCAAGUCGAACGAGUGGCGGACGGGUGAGUAAUGUCUGGGAAACUGCCUGAAGGCGGGGGAUAACUACUGGAAACGGUAGCUCAUACCGCAUACCAUCGGAUGUGCCCAGAGGGGGGUAGCUAGUCGGUGGGGUAAAGGCUCACCUAGGCGACGAUCCCUAGCUGGUCUGAGAGGAUGACCGGCCACACUGGACAUGGGACCUGGUCCAAACGCCUACGGGAGGCAGCAGUGGGGAAUAUUGCACAAGGGGCGAAAGCCUGAUGCAGCCGUGCGGCGUGUAUGAAGAAGGCCUUCGGGUUGUAAAGUACUUUCAGCGGGGAGGCGUUACCCGCAGAAGAAGCACCGGCUAACUCCGUGCCAGCAGCCGCGGUAAUUC